rnacentral:rRNA from 1 species
CGUGAGUGAUGAAGGCCUCUAGGGUUGUAAACCUGCUUUUACCAGAGAAGGAAAAUGACAGUACUGGCAGAAUAAGGUGCGGCCAACUACGUGCCAGCAGCCGCGGUGACACGUAGGCACCAAGCGUUGUCCGGAUUUAUUGGGCGUAAAGAGCUCGGUAGGCGGUUCAGUAAGUCGGGUGUGAAAACUCUGGGCUUAACCCAGAGACGCCACCCGAUACUGCUGUGACUUGAGUCCGGUAGGGGAGUGGGGAAUUCCUGGUGUAGCGGUGAAAUGCGCAGAUAUCAGGAGGAACACCAAUGGCGAAGGCACCACUCUGGGCCGAGACUGACGCUGAGGAGCGAAAGCGUGGGUAGCAAACAGGAUUAGAUACCCUGGUAGUCCACGCCGUAAACGGUGGGCACUAGAUGUGGGUUCCAACCAACGGAAUCCGCGUCGUCGCUAACGCAUUAAGUGCCCCGCCUGGGGAGUACGGCCGCUAGGUUAAAACUCAGAGGAAUUGACGGGGGCCCGCACAAGCAGCGGAGCGUGUUGCUUAAUUCGAUGCUACGCGAAGAACCUUACCUGGGUUUGACAUGUACGGAAAAGCCACAGAGAUGUGGUGUCCUUCGGGGUCGUCCCCGGUGCUGCAUGGCUGUCGUCAGCUCGUGUCGUGAGAUGUGGGG